AUACUUGUGAACUAAAACUGGCUUUAUGCAAAUAAACUAGAGCUUAGCAAACAAUACUAGAAAUGCCUAGCACUUACAUCUGAAGGUAUAAUAGCUGCCCCCCCAUGGGGGUCUCACAGAGUUUAGUGAUUCUGGACCAUCAGAUCUUGUCAUCAAGUCUCAGACGUUGGACCUUGGCCGUUCGAUCUGGGCAGCAGCCAACCUCUCAUCGUUGCCCCUAGAUCAAGUUAUGCAACGGCCACUGUCUACCCGCCUACGGCUGCGCGGGGGACCCAUGUUCGUCUGGGACCACUUAUCAGUCACCGAGGGUCAGUUUUGUGUGGGUCACUCAUGGCUGCGGGCAUAGGGGUCGGUGGGCGUGGUGGGGUUGUGCGAUGCGUGGGCACCGGGCAGCCAAUCCCCACUCACGUCAGCCCUCUCCAAUCCCCACCUUCUCUUCCUUCCCCAAUCAUCUCCCUCUCCACUCCACCUCCAUGAGCCGCCGCCGCCGCCCCUUAUCCUCUCCCUCCUCUUCUCGGUCGAGCCGCGGACGCCCCAUCUUCUUGUCGAGAUCGUCGAGCCACGGUCGCGGUCAGCAGCCGCCUCGCCACUCGAGCAGAAGCACGCCAUGGUAUGGAGCGAAGUUCGAGCAGGUGUGUGCGCCGCCGCGCUGUAAGGAGACGCCACCGCGCAAUCCCCGUCCCCCGGAGACCGGGGUGUCCAUCAGCACACAUGAGUCACAGGGGCGGAGGAGGAUGCACGCGUCCUCAUCCUCGGCGAUCGGGAUGCUCAGAUCCGUUCGUGCCGCCGCCCUUGUCCUCAACCUCCUCCCUACUCGCCCCCAUCUCGUGCGCAAAAGGAGUAGCAUAGGGCACUGCUACUGUUGUCUCCUAUGGUCCUCCACCCUGGCUUCUUUCUGCCUCGAGCGGCGGCCGUCUGGGCUCUGCCCCUCCACCCUAUUUUUGGGGCAGAAGGAGGGCUUCCAUGGUACCGGUUCGAGCUCCCUCCCCCCCCCCCCUCUCUGCCUCUGGCUGAACGUUGACGUUCUCUUGGUUUUUUCCCCUGUUGCACCCAGAUGUUUGGCUGAUUCAUUGCUGCUAGUGAGGGAGAUGGGAAGUGGAAGAAGAAAAGGUGAAGGAGAUGGAAGAGGACACAAGGAAUGACCACAUAUCUGCUCCAACAAAGGAGUGAAUUACACUCACUCGGCAAUAAUCAGAUGGGGCAACAUGAAGAUUGCACGAGGAUGCGAGCUCGACAACAGUGCGAAAGGAUGAUGGCACGAGGAUGCGGGUACAUUUUUAUAGUACAUACCGCAGGUGUGCAAGAUGGUGGCUGACGAAUAUGCUUGAGUUCAACACAAUGAAGUUUACUUAUCAGUUUGGUUUCAAUCUCAGUUCACCUUUGAUCAUUUUCUGAAGCAAAGUAAAACAGGGAAGUGCUCGAUGUUAUGCGCGUUCUUGCUGACUGUCUGUCGACGCAAUGGGAGGGGUCGGUGUCACGUCCACUAACUGAGUGGCGUGGAGGAGCUCCACUGUGAAGGAGACAGCUGACUGGCAAUGGCUAAUUGUUGCAGUGUUGGUGUCAUUUAGAUUCGGGUUCAUGGAGAGCAUCUGAUGGACAUGCCAAUAGCUCUGAAAAUGGAUCAUUGAUCUCAUCUGUAAGGAUACGAUUCUUUCAGUCUAGAGACGCUUCAUGCUUUUGCUUGCUGGUCACCUGGUCUGUUUGGUUGGUUACCUAUUUUUACUGCCCAACUUCUUAUUCACAUUUGGUACAGAUAUUUUGCCACCUAUAUUUUGGGUCCGAACACACGUAACUAUGUAUAUUUCAGAUUGCAGUACAUGAAAACAACCAUUAAUUAGUGAAGCAGCGAGGCGAAGUUGCACGCUGACUGACAUGUUAACCUCUUCGUGCCAGGGCCAGCCGGGAACAAAGCAAAUCAGCGACCAGCAAGGAAAAGAUGCGAGCAAACAGAGGUGGGCAGGGACGUUGGUCGUGAGAUGGAGAUGAGGACUAGGUCCCAGUGGUAUGACAGUAUUUAGCUUCUAUAAGCGGUGUUUUAUUUAUUAUGAGUAAAUAAUAUUAUUUGCUAUAUAGCAUUUCUGCCUACUAUCUAAAACUGAGCUCUUUUUUUUAGUGAAUAAUUUGUAUGAUGUCCAUCCGCUAGCAUGCUACGCCUCACAGUGUAGCCUUAUCGCUGAUUUAGACCCAGCUGUUGCAUCGCCAUUCUUGAUGUGGUCACCUCACAUGGUUCAUUUCUCUCCCACUCGCGAUUUUUGGCGGUGUCUCGCAAGAUAAAAGACUAUUGUAUAAAGAUCUUCGAGUUCUAAAUUAGUUUUGCGUUCUAUUUUUGUCUCUAUUCCAAGCUCGGGUGGAGAUGGAGCACUGCCGAAAUAGCACGGGGAAAUCCUGGAACAUGGAUCUUGUCCUUUUGCUUGGGAGAGAGAAAUGAGAAGAAAUUGAAGGUUUGCACCCAUGGGUUUAGUUCUCAUUACCAUUGAUGAUGCAUGUGAUUUGUUCCUGGGGCCUGGAAGAGAUUUCCAAAUACAAUGGCGUUAUGGUUUGUAACAUUGCCAAGAAGCUAUACUCGUCUCUCCCGCUUUGAGUUUGUUUAUCAUUGUACAGAUGUAGACCUGUGAUUAUGAUUUAAUAUUUUGGAUAUGUAGUUCAAAUUUUUUUAGCAGUACCUAUUUAUGCUUAAUUUUCAGUAUUAUUGGUUUGUAACAUUGCCAAGCAGCUAUAACUCAUCUCUCCCGCAUUGAGUUUGUUUAUCAUUGUACAUAUGUAGACCUGUAGUUCAAAAUUUAUUAGCAAUACCUAAUUAUGCUUAAUAUUCAGUAUCUUUAUUUUCUUUGUGAAUCAGUUUACCAUUAGUAGUGGAAGGUAUUGCCAAAAUCUUGCCCUUCACGCUGGUAAAGGUUGGACCUUUUUGGUUUGAACCAUGGAGCUAAUUGGGAUAUGUAUUUUUCUUCAGAUCUGCAUUAGUUCAACAAAGUUGAUGGAAUAAUUUGUGUGAUGUUCUUACCCUAUUUAGGAAACUACAGGUUGUCAAGGAAGUGGCUGUAAUAACUUGAUGGAUAAGGCGCUGCUAGACACGGGAUAGUUAGGAAAGCAGCCCAUAGUCUAAAUUUGAUAAAAGGAGGCUGCUACGACCAUCUCCAGUAAACUGGAGAAAAAAAUGGCCUAGCUGGUGACCUUGGAGAUGUAUAAUAGGGGCACAAUUCAUUGAUCACGAAAACAACAUGUCUGGAGAAAUCUCCCCGAGAAUGUGUUGAUUUGUUCAUGGAAAGGCUUCAAGAGGGAAAUGUUUAUGAGAUAAAGAAGUUUGUGCUGGGAAACUGAAUCUUCGCUACCCUGCAGAUAGUGUUAUAUUAUUCAGUAAUCAAGAGCAAAAAUUAUUGAUGUGUUGUGCAUUGCCUUGUGUUGCUAUCUGCCUAACUGUUGAUUGUUCGACUUGCCUUUAUCUUAGACCGACUGAGGUGUAUUUGUAUUUGGUAGUUGUAGUUUCAUGUUGUUGAUUUCUGUGAUCCGUUCAGAUUAUACAUGUAUGGAUGUACAUUAAGGUGUAUGUUGGCUGAUUCAUCCAUGCUUAGGUCUCUAUCAUAUUUUCCUAUUUUAUCUAUAUUUACUGUGUCUGUCUCUAGAAGAGUGCCAUGACAAUCCAUGUCUCUUUUUAGUCGUUUUUAGAGACUUUUCUUACUUCUGAUCAUAGGUCGUACAUCAAUGAGGAUCUUCCUGAGAUCAACAAGCUACUUACAACGUAAUUGAUGCAUAUAUGCUCAGGGACUAACCGAGCCUAACUAUUCCUACUUUUUGUCUACAGGAUACAAAACAGAGUCACUGAUGCCUAGAGUAUUCCACUCCCGGGACAAUCUUCUACCGAGAUAAAUGCCAGGUUGAUCUUGUGACAAAGACUAAUUCUGAACUGGUUGACUUGAAAAUCUGGGAACACGAGAAAACUAAGUUAUUAUGUAUUGUUGCCAUCACAAAACUUAGCCCUGAUCAAUGCUAUUGGUUCUCUUCAUGUACAACUUGCCGUAAAUCUGUGGUUCCAUACGACACCGAGUAAAAGUGAUGUGAUUUGAACUGCUGAUUCGUUAGUAUUGAGAAAGUGCAAAAUGGAGAUUGAAUUCUGCACUACUUGGUCACCGUUAUUCUGCCCAAAAGGUUUAGCUGAGAAUGCCUCGCCAUCUUGUGUCAUUCUGACAAUUGAGCAACAUAAGCAUAUGCAAGUCUGGAUCGAUUACCUCAAGGUAGUGACUGAUAGUGACUCGCCAUAUUACAAGCAACUUCAAUACGAAUGCAAGAUUGAAAAGUACAGGACCUCACCGACAUUCAGCAGUCGACCUGCUGUUGGACGAGAGCCUGAGACGGCGGCCUGUCGGCGGUCAUGUUGGGCAGCAGCCGGCGACGAGGCGACCAGGCCCAGGCGUCCAUUGCUCUCAGCACUGCCGCUGCUGCAAGUUGCCAUGCGGCCGGUGCGCUGCCUCCAGCUAGCUUCUCCCGUCCUCCCAAUCUCCACUAUUCAUUAUCAAUCUGCUUGGAAUAAAGAAUCAAGGAGCAAGGACAGAAGCUGGAGCUGCACGUGAAGUGGGAUUGGGGAUUUUGGUCGAUAUGGAGAGAGCUGGAGCUGCACGUGAAGAGGGAUUGAGAAUUUUGGUCGACAUGGAGAGAGAGCAGAGCUGGAUAGAUUUUUGCUAGAUGUACCAACUUCUCUACCAAAUCAGUGAAUGACAAUGAUGUCAAGUAUUGUAACUUGUGGCUUCAGUGGUAGUACUCUUAGCUGGAGGUAAAAAAUAGCCAAAAAUUUCCAAACUAUGCUUGUUCAUUUUUUACCACAAAGUGAUAUUGGUAGGAAAAAACUCUCGGGUUUGGAUGUUAAAUUAGUAUUUGCAUCUAUUUGUAUACGUAUAUAUUUGUUUUCUACUACAACUUCUGAACUAUGCAAUGGUUUUACCCAUGCAUAUGUCCACGAGAUUGCUACCUAUUUGGUAGACUUGGUCACUUACGUGUGAUUUAUCCCUGUUUCAUCCUA